UACGUAGGGUCCGAGCGUUGUCCGGAUUUAUUGGGCGUAAAGAGCUCGUAGGCGGCUUGCUAAGUCAGGUGUGAAACCUCCAGGCUCAACCUGGGAACUGCAUUUGUGACUGCACGGCUAGAGUGUGUCAGAGGGGGGUAGAAUUCCACGUGUAGCAGUGAAAUGCGUAGAUAUGUGGAGGAAUACCGAUGGCGAAGGCAGCCCCCUGGGAUAACACUGACGCUCAUGCACGAAAGCGUGGGGAGCAAACAGG
rnacentral:rRNA from 1 species